CACAGCAAAAAAGAGAACACUGGCUACUACAGACUGGUAAAACAUCUGCAGCAGCCUAUUGCAUACAUUAAAAGACCUGAGCCUCCUCAGGAAGAACAGUUUGCUCUGUCCCUUCCUGUAGAGGGCCUCGGUGUUAUCAGUCCAGUCAACUUUUCAUAUGUAC